rnacentral:tRNA from 1 species
ACCAUUUUGGCGGAUCAGCGCGCGAGGCUUAGGACCUCGAUAGGGGUACUCCAAAUGGUA